rnacentral:rRNA from 1 species
GACGAACGCUGGCGGCGUGCCUAAUACAUGCAAGUUGAGCGCUGAAGGUUGGUACUUGUACCAACUGGAUGAGCAGCGAACGGGUGAGUAACGCGUGGGGAAUCUGCCUUUGAGCGGGGGACAACAUUUGGAAACGAAUGCUAAUACCGCAUAAAAACUUUAAACACAAGUUUUAAGUUUGAAAGAUGCAAUUGCAUCACUCAAAGAUGAUCCCGCGUUGUAUUAGCUAGUUGGUGAGGUAAAGGCUCACCAAGGCGAUGAUACAUAGCCGACCUGAGAGGGUGAGCGGCCACAUUGGGACUGAGACACGGCCCAAACUCCUACGGGAGGCAGCAGUAGGGAAUCUUCGGAAAUGGACGAAAGUCUGACCGAGCAACGCCGCGGGAGUGAAGAAGGUUUUCGGAUCGUAAAACUCUGUUGGUAGAGAAGAACGUUGGUGAGAGUGGAAAGCUCAUCAAGUGACGGUAACUACCCAGAAAGGGACGGCUAACUACGUG